UGAUUAGUAGAUUGGUCAUGCCUCUGGUAUGUACUGGUUUCACUGAUUCCUCCUUCCUGAUGAACCGUAAUGCCAUUUAUUUGGUGUUGCGAGGAAUUUGGACUGUUACUUUGAAAAAAUUAGAGUGUUUAAAGCAAGCUAACGCUUGAAUACAUUAGCAUGGAAUAAUGAAAUAGGACGUUCGAUCCUAUUUUGUUGGUUUCUAGGAUCGACGUA
rnacentral:rRNA from 1 species